GUGCCAGCAGCCGCGGUAAUACAUAGGGGUCAAGCGUUGUCCGGAUUUAUUGGGCGUAAAGAGCUCGUAGGCGGUUCAACAAGUCGGUCGUAAAAGUUUAGGGCUCAACCCUAAAAUGUCGAUCGAUACUGUUGUGACUAGGAUACGGUAGAGGUUAGUGGAAUACCGAGUGUAGAGGUGAAAUUCGUAGAUAUUCGGUGGAACACCAGUGGCGAAGGCGACUAACUGGACUGAUACUGACGCUGAGGUGCGAAAGUGUGGGGAGCAAACAGGAUUAGAUA
rnacentral:rRNA from 1 species